GCUGCUUAGGGGUAGUGUUCUAGUCCCUCCCUAGGUGCAGAACCACAUGAUUUUAUUUUUUAUUUAAAUUUUUUUAUCCAUUCUUCUCCCCUCGAAGGCGUGGCAUCCUCCACGGGUCACGACGGACUGCACCUCUUUGGAAGGCCACUAGAGAUGGCCUAAGGGCAUUGAGUCAACUUGCUAACACAUAUGAAAAAGUGACAAAAAUAGAGUAAACUAACACUAGUAUUGAAAAAUAUGAAAAUAUAUAGACAUAUGAACAAUAAUCGAAAAAGUGUGUGAGCUAGCUCCUUUAUUAUGCCCUAAGAUUAACUCUAGUAGGGCCCCUACUUAAAUUCCAAUAACUAAUAUGGGUGCCUA
rnacentral:lncRNA from 1 species